GAAGCAUUAAAUGGCUGCAGGGCUGCUGUGAUCAGAGGGGAUGCGUUCGCCGCCAACUCUCCAGGUUGCAAGAUACCCCAGUGAUGCAACCUGCUCAGGCUGUGGAGGAACUCCAAAAAGAGAUUGAUGAUGGAAGCAUAGCGCCAUCACUUGAUUUCACAUCAGCAUCCGUCAGCUCCAAAAGUGACACUGCUGGUAUCUUAGAGGACAGAGUUUGCAUGUGAUGAGAUGCUGAGCAUGAGUGGGCUGCAUCUCGGGAAAGAUACAAGGAUGGAGCAAAUGCCAGUUUGUUGGAGGAUAAGCUUUCACUGCAGGGAGCUCAGGCUCUGGGAAAUCUACAAUCGCCUUGACUUUUGGACCCCUUGGAGCCAUCUCACCAUGUCCAAUGGUAUGGCCUAGAUACAUACCUUGUGCUUUUGAAAAUUCAUUUUAGACAAGUUUAGCUUCUUGUAAUUGAAAAAAUAAUUCUUCCGGAUGCUGUAAAUACUCCUUCCAUGACUGACUGAAAACUAUCAGAUCAUCAGUAUAAACAGCACAAUUGUUUAGACCUGCAA